GUGAGGAAUAUUGGGCAAUGGGGGCAACCCUGACCCAGCCAUGCCGCGUGAGUGAAGAAGGUCUUCGGAUUGUAAAGCUCUUUCGGACGUGACGAUGAUGACGGUAGCGUCUAAAGAAGCACCGGCAAACUUCGUGCCAGCAGCCGCGGUAAUACGAAGGGUGCGAGCGUUGUUCGGAAUUACUGGGCGUAAAGGGAGUGUAGGCGGAUAUGUAAGAUAGCGGUGAAAUGCCGGGGCUCAACCUCGGAACUGCCAUUAUGACUAUGUAUCUAGAGUAAUGGAGAGGAUAGCGGAAUACCCAGUGUAGAGGUGAAAUUCGUAGAUAUUGGGUAGAACACCGGUGGCGAAGGCGGCUAUCUGGCCAUUUACUGACGCUGAGGCUCGAAAGCAUGGGGAUCAAACAGG
rnacentral:rRNA from 1 species